rnacentral:tRNA from 1 species
GGCGACGUGGCGGAGUGGUUACGCAGCGGCCUGCAAAGCCGUCAACCCCGGUUCGAUUCCGGGCGUCGCCUCCA